UACACUCCUACGGGAGGCAGCAGUGGGGAAUAUUGCACAAUGGGCGCAAGCCUGAUGCAGCCAUGCCGCGUGUAUGAAGAAGGCCUUCGGGUUGUAAAGUACUUUCAGCGGGGAGGAAGGUGUUGAGGUUAAUAACCUCAGCAAUUGACGUUACCCGCAGAAGAAGCACCGGCUAACUCCGUGCCAGCAGCCGCGGUAAUACGGAGGGUGCAAGCGUUAAUCGGAAUUACUGGGCGUAAAGCGCACGCAGGCGGUCUGUCAAGUCGGAUGUGAAAUCCCCGGGCUCAACCUGGGAACUGCAUUCGAAACUGGCAGGCUAGAGUCUUGUAGAGGGGGGUAGAAUUCCAGGUGUAGCGGUGAAAUGCGUAGAGAUCUGGAGGAAUACCGGUGGCGAAGGCGGCCCCCUGGACAAAGACUGACGCUCAGGUGCGAAAGCGUGGGGAGCAAACAGGAUUAGAUACCCUUGUAGUCCCAUGAU
rnacentral:rRNA from 1 species